AGGGAAACUUCCACAAUGGGCGAAAGCCUGAUGGAGCAACGCCGCGUGAGUGAAGAAGGCCUUCGGGUUGUAAAGCCCUUUUGUUCGGAAAGAAGAGCAGCCGGCCAAUACCCGGUUGUUCUGACGGUACCCAAAGAAUAAGCACCGGCUAACUUCGUGCCAGCAGCCGCGGUAAUACGAAGGGUGCAAGCGUUACUCGGAAUUACUGGGCGUAAAGCGUGCGUAGGUGGUGGUUUAAGUCCGUUGUGAAAGCCCUGGGCUCAACCUGGGAACUGCAGUGGAUACUGGAUCACUAGAGUGUGGCAGAGGGUAGUGGAAUUCCCGGUGUAGCAGUGAAAUGCGUAGAGAUCGGGAGGAACAUCAGUGGCGAAGGCGACUGCCUGGGCCAACACUGACACUGAGGCACGAAAGCGUGGGGAGCAAACA
rnacentral:rRNA from 1 species